AAAUUUCAAUCCAAAGUUGGUCCAAGAUUUCUCUCCCCUGUUGUUGGGUGACCUGAUUAUGACGUCACUGGCUUAGAGGACAAUGGAGUACUUGAACAGUCCAGUUUAUGGAGUAGAAUCUUCUGUAGUCCUGGCGACAGUCUCAUUGUGCUCUCAUUAUCGGUGCCUCAGUUCAUCUCCUGCUCACUGUGACCUUGUCAACCUCUUGCUUGGCAAUCCUGUGGCCAUCCAGAAGGAUUCACCUGAUGAUAGGCAUUGUGGCCCAGUGGAUACAACUGUGCUUGGAAUCAAGAACCCAUGAGUUUAAAUCUCAUCUCCUGAACUGUUACUACUUGUGGGAUCCUGGGGCAAGUUACACGGAUUCAACAUUCUCAUUUGGAAAAUGGGAAUAACGCCGACUGGAGCUCCCGAGGAGAGUUUCUGAGGGAAGACCAGAGGAGAAGUGAUUUCUGACCCAUAAUGCUCAGUGGAUGUGUCGGCUGGGGUGAUGGAGAACAGAUAUCCUGGGCUGACUGAGAAACGCCUCUGCCAUGAGUGGAAUGACAGUGACAGAGUUUGUCUGAGGGCACAAGAUGUCCAGAUGCUCAGGUGGAUCGUCAGUGCACCUACUACGCACCAAGCCCUGUGCUAAGGUCCACUAAAUGCUCGACCUACAACACAAUGGACCAUCUACUCACGAUGGCGGCAGAUCCCUGAGCAGCAAACACCUGUGAAAGCGUCAGGAACAGAUCCCACCCCAGCUCCAGGACCUCCUAGCCGUGGGACUGGGAGCUCCAGAGAUGGCGGUUCUAGACUGGGUCUUCAGGAGCUUCAAAGGCCUUUCCCACUCCUGCCUCAGGAUCAGGAAGCCCAGAGAUGGCCCUAGAUGCAGUGGGAGACCUGUGAGUACAGCCUCAGGCAAACUCAGACCACAUGAAGGAUCCCACCAGGUGAGCGUCUGCUGAAGCCCAUGAAGAACCAUCUCAUGUCUGUUUUAUUCAUGAGGAGAGGAGACAGGAAAAGAUGAAUGUUUUCUUCUCUGCUCAAGUUCACGGCCCGCCUCCUGCCGUCUCCCCGGGGCCCUAACUCCUGCCCUGGAUGACCUUUGGGGCCCCACAAGCCUCCCUAGUGGCUGGUCCCUCACCACCGGGCCCUCCUCCCUCCCUUGAGGCCCUAUUUCUUUCCCCAAACUCCUGGGUCGUGGGGGAGGCGAGGCUGGUGCUUUCUGUCUGGUUUCCCGGCCUCGGAAACAACACAAGGGCAAAAUGGCUGGAAGCAUGAUACUGACACGGGAGCCUAGGGGCCCAGAGAGACUCCUGAGGCAGGAGUGACUGGAGGCAGGACGGUCCCGCGGGAGGACAAGCGACAACAGAUGGACGGCUGCGGUGUUGCCCUGGGACCGGCCCGGGUGCAGAAAAGGACCAAGGUCCCGGGGGGCUGAAGAGAAGAGGAGGAGAAUCAGAGAAGGCCAAGGGAGGGAGGAAGAACCCCCUGCAGCAACAUCAUGGAUUCGCCGAGGAUCUGCGCCUGCUCGGGAAGAGCUCCAUUUUCUAAUUUAAUUUAUUCAGUUUUAAAUUAAAGUUCCCCAGGGUUAGCUUGCCUCCCUGGCCCUGUG